CAGCGCGGGGCCCAGCACUUACCGGGGCGCGGCGCGGCGCUCUCCCGCGCCGGGCUGGGGCAGAAGCGGGUUUGCAUGAGUGAAGCCCGCACGGCGCCGCCGGGGUUACAAGCCGGGACCGGUCCCCUCCCCGCCUGGAAGUGAUGGGCAAACAAGGGAGUAGUUGGUGCUGGAUGCUGCUGUCAGCCGGCCGCCGCCGCCUCUCCCCCGGCCAAGUGAGAGGCUGAGCUCCGGGUGAGACUGACCUGUGCCAGCUGCCCAGCAUCCACCGCCGGCCCUUUCUCCACCCUGCUCCGCUCUCCUCCGGCUCGGCCACUCCCUCCCGCCCCGCUGCCUCUCCGCUCUGCCUCCCUCGCUCUGGCACAGAGGACACAGUGACUAUACUCCCGGGACAUCUCCAGUGGCAGCAGACCUAUUACUGAAAAUCCGUGCUGAUCACCCAAAUUCUCCAGAGGCUCAGGAUGAUACAAAGGCACGUGUGUACCAUUUUGACUGGCUGUCCAGAAUCACCUCAGGAAUAAAAAGUAAUUAAAAUAGAAACCAAUCCAGAUACGCAAUUACAAACCACAUCCAAUUGUAUAAGACAUGGUUGGAUCAGAUAUUAUUGGGGGUCCUACAUCCAAACUGUUACUUGUCUCCAGUGAAUGAGGGGUUCUCUGAAGCGGAUAUCUUAGACUUUGCAAGGGCAGGUGUAUGUCUUUUGUGCAUGAGGAGAAGGGAGGAGGGAACCAAGUGAAAAAACCUGAAUGGCAGCAUCUAGAAGUAUUGUGGCAGCACAUUCUGAAGCUGGAAGAUAGUGAUGAAGGAGGUUACCAUGACUACCAAAGGCGGCAUAUUUGAAUAAAAAUGGAGAUAAAGAGACACAUAUUAUGUGGGCAGAAGAUGCUGUGUUCUGGUCAAUAACACAGGCCACAGAGGUCAACGGCUUUAAGACAAGCCUGUCUGAAAGCCCCUAUAAAUGUUCAAAGGUGGGGGAGGAAGAUUUAGAUACUGAUGUGCACUGUCUGAGCAGAACGAGAGAUAGUUGACAUAAAAUGCUACUCUGUAAAGGAGAACAGCAUAUUAAGUCUCAUAAAAAUCUACAACAGGCUUUACGGUCUCCUCAGCCUGGGAAGAAUUUUGCCCACCCAAGCUUUAUUGUACAGCAGAGACAAAUAAAAGAAGGUCUGAAAUGAAAGCAGUGAGGUCAACCUAUUCUGAGAAUCAAAAAGUGAAGCUUCAUAUCCUCUUUCUUCUCCACCCCUAUUGUUUUUUGUCAUCACCUGGUUUGAUUCAGCACCUUCAGAACAGUCCGUUUAUCAUUGACACAGUGAUGCAAAACCUCUAUUCUCCCUGCUCUCCAAACAUUUCCAACUGUCUUUUUCAAGGUCAAAAUUGGGCACCAGGCCAUGGAAACAUAUUCAGACUGCUUGAGAAU